GGGAAGUAAACAGCCUGCAGCCUGUGCUCUUCCCGUGGGUGGUUUCUCUCUCGGCUAAUCUCACUUGUCAUUUCAGCUCUGGGAAGCUGAAAGUUCAAGCCCAGUUCCCUCACCUUGCAAUACAGACAAUAAAGCUCAUAGGCGCUUGUCAAAGGGAAGAAUGCCUUCCGUGGGGCAUUGUGACCCAGAGGCUCUCACAGACCAUCCCAGGAACUUUGGAUUCAUCUUGGUGAUUUUAAAAGACACAGAAAAGAGUUUCUAGGCUGCCUUCCCUGAGUCCUAGGCCAGGAAGCCUGGAGGUAGGGAGUCCAGGGUUGAUUUGUGAUCCAGAGAUGCCAUUAAAAGCCCAGACUGUACCCUUCUGCCCCCACCUGGAUCACAAGAGGGUGGCCACUUUCAAGUCAUCACCUCCACACUCCAGGAGGAAGAAAGGAGAGGCGGAAGAGCCAGUAAUUUCCCCUCCUUUUAUCAGGAGACAGCUUUCCCAGAAACCUCCACCUCUGCCCAGCAGACUUCACUUAUAUCUUACUGGCCAGAGCCCCAUCACCUGGAGUUCUCAGUGGUCAGGGAAGCUGGAAAAGUACAGGUUCAGCUACAAAGACGGGAAAACUGAAGCAACAAGGGAGAAAUGGAUCGGUAAUAACUGUAGAGUUAGACAGCCAACAGCAUCUGCCAAAACUAUGUAAGAUAUUUUUUAGCAUAACCACUUUGCAGGGUUUUUUUUUUUUUAUUACAAAAGUAAUGGAUAUAUGUUGUUACUUUAGGAAAUAAAAAUUUAAAAUUCCACAGUCCCAUCACACAGAAGUAACCACUGUUUAUUCCUGGUUUAUUAUCUUUCUAGAUCUUUUGUAUUUUUUAACAUGGAUGGAACCACACUAUGGGUUGCUCUGUAAUUAGCCUUUUUACCUGAUAUUGUGAAAAUUCUUUCCAAAUCAUUAAAUGCUCUUUGCAGAAUCACA